rnacentral:rRNA from 1 species
GACGAACGCUGGCGGCGUGCUUAACACAUGCAAGUCGAACGAUGAACCCGGAGCUUGCUCUGGGGGAUUAGUGGCGAACGGGUGAGUAACACGUGAGUAACCUGCCCUGGACUCUGGGAUAAGCGUUGGAAACGACGUCUAAUACCGGAUAGGACCUUGGAUCGCAUGAUCUGGGGUGGAAAGUUUUUUCGGUCUGGGAUGGACUCGCGGCCUAUCAGCUUGUUGGUGAGGUAAUGGCUCACCAAGGCGUCGACGGGUAGCCGGCCUGAGAGGGUGACCGGCCACACUGAGACUGAGACACGGCCCAGACUCCUACGGGAGGCAGCAGUGGGGAAUAAUGCACAAUGGGCGAAAGCCCGAUGCAGCAGCGCCGCGGGCGGGAUGACGGCCUUCGGGUUGUAAACCGCUUUUAGUAGGGAAGAAGGGCUUCGGCUUGACGGGACCUGCAGAAAAAAGACCGGCGAACUACGU